UCUUCUUCUUUUCUUCACUUUCACUUGUUUAUUCUCUUUUUUCUUUUUCUUCUUUAGUGAUUACGGGUUCGUGGAGCAAUCAAGUAAUCAAUCGAAUCCCUGGAGGGGUUUCUAAUGGAGUGGUGGAACUUUUUCUAUGAUACAUACACGUUUCAUCAGGCUGAGCAUGCCCAAGAAUCCAAUAUUGAGGUUGCACAUACUAUUGACAACGUUAUAUCUAAUAUCCCCUCCGCUCUGCCAGCGCUUUCUCCUUAUCCUACCAUGCUACCGUUUGAGCAUAAUAUAUCUCCUAUGGUGCCGGCUUUCCACCUGGUGACACCUGACUAUGUGUUGAUGUAUGAUUUAAGCUUUGUUGAUAUGCAUCAUCCAACUCA